rnacentral:rRNA from 1 species
GCCAGAGGAUGCAAACGUUGCUCGGAAUUACUGGGCGUAAAGCGCGUGUAGGCGGUUUCGCGAGUCGGGUGUGAAAGCCCGGGGCUCAACCCCGGAAGUGCACUCGAUACUACGGAGCUGGAGUACUGAAGAGGAGAGCGGAAUUCCCGGUGUAGAGGUGAAAUUCGUAGAUAUCGGGAGGAACACCAGUGGCGAAGGCGGCUCUCUGGGCAGAUACUGACGCUGAGACGCGAAAGCGUGGGGAGCAAACAGG